rnacentral:lncRNA from 1 species
UCUCUUAUUCUACGUCGCGUAGACUCAUCCAACAAAGCCUAAAUUGGCUAAUUAUCCAUCUAAAUAACAUAAUUAGCUUAGUUAGCUCCUAAAUGGUCUAUUUAUUAAAAAUGACCUAUACUUAGCUAAUUAUCCUCGAAAUGACAUAAUUAGAUCCAAAAAGGCAUUCUUAGCCAAUUUAGCACGAAGAAGGGGACGAGAGGAGAAGAAAGAGGAAAAAUGAAAGGAAGGAAGA